rnacentral:rRNA from 1 species
UACGUAGGGUGCAAGCGUUAAUCGGAAUUACUGGGCGUAAAGCGUGCGCAGGCGGUUUUGUAAGUCUGUCGUGAAAGCCCCGGGCUCAACCUGGGAAUUGCGAUGGAGACUGCAAGGCUUGAAUCUGGCAGAGGGGGGUAGAAUUCCACGUGUAGCAGUGAAAUGCGUAGAGAUGUGGAGGAACACCGAUGGCGAAGGCAGCCCCCUGGGCCAAGAUUGACGCUCAUGCACGAAAGCGUGGGGAGCAAACAGG